GAUGAACGCUGGCGGCGUGCCUAAUACAUGCAAGUCGAGCGAAUGGAUUGAGAGCUUGCUCUUAUGAAGUUAGCGGCGGACGGGUGAGUAACACGUGGGUAACCUGCCCAUAAGACUGGGAUAACUCCGGGAAACCGGGGCUAAUACCGGAUAACAUUUUGAACCGCAUGGUUCGAAAUUGAAAGGCGGCUUCGGCUGUCACUUAUGGAUGGACCCGCGUCGCAUUAGCUAGUGGGUGAGGUAACGGCUCACCAAGGCAACGAUGCGUAGCCGACCUGAGAGGGUGCUCGGCCACGCGGGACGUGAGACACGGCACAGACUCCUACGGGAGGCAGCAGUAGGGUAUCUUCCGCAAUGGACGAAAGUCUGGCGGAGCAACGCCGCGUGAGUGAUGAAGGCUUUCGGGUCGUAAAACUCUGUUGUUAGGGAAGAACAAGUGCUAGUUGAAUAAGCUGGCACCUUGACGGUACCUAACCAGAAAGCCACGGCUAACUACGUGCCAGCAGCCGCGGUAA
rnacentral:rRNA from 1 species